rnacentral:rRNA from 1 species
ACGGGAGGCAGCAGUGGGGGAUAUUGCACAAUGGGGGAAACCCUGAUGCAGCGACGCCGCGUGAAGGAAGAAGGUCUUCGGAUUGUAAACUUCUGUCGUUGGGGACGAUAAUGACGGUACCCAACAAGAAAGCCACGGCUAACUACGUGCCAGCAGCCGCGGUAAUACGUAGGUGGCAAGCGUUGUCCGGAAUUACUGGGUGUAAAGGGAGCGCAGGCGGGCCGGCAAGUUGGAAGUGAAAUCCAUGGGCUCAACCCAUGAACUGCUUUCAAAACUGUCGGUCUUGAGUAGUGCAGAGGUAGGUGGAAUUCCCAGUGUAGCGGUGGAAUGCGUAGAUAUUGGGAGGAACACCAGUGGCGAAGGCGGCCUACUGGGCACCAACUGACGCUGAGGCUCGAAAGUGUGGGUAGCAAACAGGAUUAGAUACCCUGGUA